rnacentral:lncRNA from 1 species
GCGUGAAGAUCCUUACCCAGUGUAAGAAUGCCAUUCCUUCCCGUGAAGAAGGAGGGAAGGUGAUUGUCAUUGACAUUGUGGUCGAACCAUCAUUAGGACCUGUCAUGUUUGAGGCCCAGACUCUCAUGGACUUGCUCAUGCUUGUGUUCACGAGAGGCCGUCAACGUAGCGAAAAUGACUGGCGUGAGCUCUUCAUGAAAGCAGGGUUCACCGACUACAAAAUUAUCAAGAAACUCGGUGCACGAGGUGUCAUCGAGGUCUACAAGUGAAGCCUUUCUCAAAAGUUUAUCCAAAAGGCGUACUCUCAAGUACCAUUGCAGUGUGCUUUGUUUAUGUAUGGAUGGAUCGUGAACUCCAAUGAAGAAAAAUAAAGGGAGUUUCUUAUGUUUGCAAGGAUAUUAUCAUGUCACAGCUUAAGUGAUAAGCUUAUAAUUUCUAUCAUCUUUAAGUUGUAUCUUUUCCUUUCUGGAGUAUUAAAUAAUAUGUGUGUUUGUGUAUGUACACUACAAAAAAUAUGUCAACUUGUGACCUUCUGUCAGUGACCCUGGAAGAAAUGGUCAUAAAUCUACGGCCAUUUCAGAUCAACUGGUCAUAAGCUGUUCGAGGGGCUCCAAACCCUAAACCAUAACAUGAAAUGGUCAUAAAGCAGACAACACCGGUCUGCUGCCUUAUUUCUAGCUGAUCACGACCAAUAUAGAUGGUUAUAUUCUUGUAAAUUGUGGUGCGUUGCUAUGACUAGGCGCCACCUUAUCAGUUUUGCCUUUGUGUCACGUUCAUGUGUCAAUUUUUGCCUAUGUGUCAUGUCCAUGUGUCAAUUUUUGCCCUAGGUUGUGAAGCAGCCUACAUUUCUGUCAUUCCCAAAAUUUCUAAAAAAUUCUCAUAAAUUCUUUGGAUCAUAUAUUCCUCAAAUAUGUGAAAACCCUUCAUUCCCUAGUUCAAAAAUAAUUCAACAAUAAUCAUUUUCCUAUUCUGUUCAAAACAACAUUUUGUGAAGGAAGUGUUAUUUAUAUUUUCUUGAUUGACCUCAGACAUUUUGGGCACUCUUUCCUAUCCAAAUAAUUACCUCAUGAAAAAAUUCAGCUCCAUUUUGCUAGUAAAUAUUCCUUGGCAAAUUUCCAAAGUUUAUACUCAGCUAGAAGCUUUGUGAAUGACGUACUAGCUAGGAACAUCCUAAUGAGUUGAAUUUUUGCCACAUCUUCUAUAUGCCCAAAUAAUAGUUCUUCACUAAAUUUGAGCCCCAUCUAACAAUCCAUGUGAGCUCACCAUCCAAUGUUUGUUUCUAGUAAUAUUUUCAGUUUGUGAAGCAACUACAUUUUAGAUUGCUUUAUAAUUGCUGAAAAUUUAUCAGGGCAUGGCCUUAACCAUAGAACCUCCCUCCACCAAAUUUUUGGAUCAUUUAAUUUAUCCAAUUUUCCUCAAUAUGUUUCCCAAUUUUUCAGUUCAGUGUAGAGCAUUGUGAAGCAAGUGCCAUUUUUAUUUAUCGAAAUGGUAUGAAAUUUUUACAGUGCCUUCAUAUGCCCAAAUUAUCAUCCUCCUCCAAAUUGCAGCUCAAUCAAAUCAUCUAUGUGAGCCCAACUUCAAUUUAUAUUUUCUGUCCAGAUUGGCACAUUGCAAAGCAAGUGCUAUCUAUGCCCCUCGUAUUUCCCUCAAACUUUUUGGGCAAUUCUUCCAAAUCAUUGCCACAUGCUAAUAUUCAUCUCCAUUUGCCUAGUAAAUCUUCCUCGGGAAAUUUCCAAAGAUUCUAUCUAGAGAUAGCUUUGUGAAGUACUAGCUAGGAUUAUCCAAAUGUUCUGAGAUUUUUCCAUAUCUUUCAUAUGCUCAAAUAAUUACUCUCCACAAAAUUUGAGCUCUAUCCAGCAAUCCAUAUGAGCUCAUCAUCCAAUCUUUUAUCUGGUCAUAUUUUUAGUUUGUGAAGCAACUAUAUUUAUAUUGCUUAAUUAUUGCUGAAAUUUACCAGGGCAUGUUCCUAGCUAUAUAACUUACCUCCACCAAAUUUUCUCAUUUCAUUUAGCUAAUUCCUCUCAAUAAUUUUCCAAAGUUUUUGUCCAGAGAAGAGCAUUGUGAAGGAACUGCCACUCUGGCAUGUCCAAAUGGUAUCAACUUUUUACAGUACUUUCCUAUGCUGAAAUUACCAUCCUCCAUCGAAUUUCAGCUCAAUCCAUUCAUUCAUUUGAGCCCAGCUUCAACAUCCAUAUUUCUUCACAGUGUGGUACUUUGCAAAGCAAGUGCCACCUUGCCUCCUCCAUUUGAGCUAAAAAAUUACCAAGACAAUCUCUUUAGUGGAUGAUAAUCCUCAGCCAAAACUUAGGCCCAUUGCCCAUGUGCAUUUCCCCCACCGCUAAUCAAGCACUUGGCUGCUAAUUCAUGUUUGAGCUUAGUUCAAUCCACCAAACAUGCCUAGGCCGCCCAGAACGCGUGGCAACGCCAUGGUCACGCGGUGACCAUGCGGUCGGCAUGCCGGUUUACGCGCUCUGGAGUUGGGGCCCUCGGCCACCGUCCAAACCUUGACAUCUUGCUACCACACCUUGUAUUUCUAAUUACGUAGAUACUUAUGUACCUAGAAAUGAUUUUUGGAAAAAAAUAAAGAGCAGACUAUAAGGUAGUUGCAGUUCAAAUUUGACCCGCUUCCUACAAAAUCGCAGAAAUUUGUCUUUUUCACAAAAGGUGGACUAAAACUUUGGACACCCAACCAUUUUGUCAACUACACAUUAAAUAUGGCUUUACAUUUUAUAAAAUUGAUUAGGUCCAAUUUUGCAACAAAUAUAUGGUAGUUCCUGCACAAAAAACUCAUUUUGAGCACUCGAAAAAAUGAAAAAUGAAUUUUUCGUGAAAAGAAAAUAAAAAAACUUCCUUAGCAACAUUGUUUGCCAUUCCAAGAUGCACCCUGGCGCACAAUAUGAGAUCAUUUUAACAAACAAUGCCAUGAAUGCUACCACAACAUUGAUCAUUUGGCUUGGAAGCCAUUGAUCUUCACACAUGAUAGCUCGUUUCUGAGAACACUUUUUUUUAAAUAGCUACCGUAUUCCAAGUUUAUUAUUUUUCCUGGUAAAUUGGCCACAUAUAAUAACACAAAGCGAAGGUUUUCCAAUUUUUCUCAUUUUUUUGAAUUGUUCAUGCCCAUUUCAAAAUGCGGUCAAAACGACGGGCAUGACCGCUCCUAGCUAGUGGUUGAAUCUUCAGAAAAAAUUGGUGUUUCUCUAAUGAAGUGGACACUUUUGUACAAGAAAUGGUUUUUGGAAAAAAUCAUGAGCAAACUAUGAGGCAGCUGCAGUUCAAAUUUCACCCAAUUCCAACUGAACAGGCGGAAAUUUGUCUUUUUCACGAAAGGUGUAUCAAAGCUUUUGACUCCCAACCAUUUGGUCAAUUGUACAUUACAUAUGGCCUAAUAUUUUAGAAAAAUGAUUUUGGUCCGAUUUUGCACCAAUGAGCCCCAAGUCUAGGAAGACCACAACGCGUCCACCAAGGAGAGGAAGACCUUCUGUGCCGCCCAAAGCCACUACGGUCUCACACGCUGCAUGGACCAUCAAACGUACCAAAGACGACAAGGACAAGGACCCUCUCCACCCGGAGAUGGACUGGAUCAGCUCUAAAGCCCGGUCAGAUGGAGAGAACUACACCAAAAAAUUGAAGGAGACGUACGGGCCUGACGCUGAUCCUCACGUGCUACCGUUUGACCCUCUUGUGGCCAUUGUCGCGGCAGGCGGUAGACCGAAUGGCCGGAUGGCGGUUCACCUCGAUUCUGUCAUAACCUCCUCCCUUCCGAGAGUCAACACGCUCCAUGCUAUGAGUAUUGGCUCUACUCCUACCGUAGAGCGUCACGUACCACAUUCCGUGAGCAUUAUUGAGGAUAUUCAGGUCAGUGCUUCUUCAUUGAUCCUUCAUGGUCCUUCUUCAUUGAUCCUUCUUCAUUAUAGAGGAUAUUUGCAUUUCAACAUGAAUGACAUUUGCAUUGCCAUAUUGUAGACUCUACUGAUUGACACUGAGAAAGAACGAGAUGAAAACCGGGCCAAGCUGAAGGCACAAGAUGAUCUAGUGAAAUCUUUACAACAUAUGGUGGCCAAUCUUUAUUCCAUGGAAGGCCAACCAGUGCCAGAGAUGCCACCGACGCCAGAGUGGAACAUUGUGAGUUUUGUUCAAACUAUUUCUAUCACCAUUUUCGGCAUUACCAUAUGCAUUCAUCUCACUAUUGGGUCAAUCCAUCACAGCUCAACCCAUCACAAGGGUCGAACAAUGUUCCAGUAGUUCCACCUCAAGUUGGUGGAGUUGGGGCAGCAAAGGGAAUGAUGCCUUCUAAUGUUGAUGUUAUCACUCCGGUUGAUGGAGUUGGGGCAGCAAACAGAAUGAUGCCUUCUAAUGUCGAUGUUAUCACUCCGAUCUCCAAAAUCGCGUGAACUUCAUGUUAUGUUUGUAACUGUUCCUUGUAUGUUCAGAACUCUUGCAUCUUGAGACUUGUAAACUUGUGGUCUAUUGCUUUGAUGCACUAUUGCUUUUAUGUGGAAUGUUUUUCAGAAUCAAUCAUUGCUUUUUUUGUUCAAGGAUGCCUAUAUGUGACAUGUCCUAUGUGUGAUGAACUAUGUGCUGCUGUUGUAUAUGUUUCGCUGCAGGAAAGAAACAGAAACAGGGAAAAAAGGCUCCUGGGCACACCAUUGCCGAGGGCGGCUCUCGGCAAUGACUGUGAAACUGGACCAGAACGCACCCUUUACCGAGAGGCCUCUCGGUAAAGGAUAAUAACCUGUAGUCCUCCUGGCACCUUUACCGAGAGGCCGGUAAAGGAUAAUAACCUGUAGGCCUCCUGGCAACUUUACCGAGAGGACUCUCGGUAAAGGAAAAAGAAUUGUCGACGGUGGCUCUCGGCAAACUAUUUUCACGGCUUUUAGGAGAAGUGACGUGGCCCUCCCCUAUUGGCUGAGUUUGCCGGGAGUCACACUCGGCAAAUAUAGAGUUUGCCGAGAACAUCCCUCGCAAAGUUGGCACUCUUUGCCGAGAGUGGCACUUGGCAAAGAUGGCCCUCGGCCUGUUCGCCUAGUCCCACGUGUCAGGAGCUGACAGGUGUCAGCCACCUACUGGCUGUCUUUGCCGAGAGUGGCGCUCGGCAAAAAUGGCCCUUGGCCUGUUCGCCUGGCCCCACGUGUCAGGAGCUGACAUGUGUCAGCCACCUACUAGCUGGCUUUGCCGAGAGGCGCACUCGGCAAAGAUGGCCCUCGGCCUGUUCGCCUGGUCCCACAUGUCAGGAGCUCACACGUGUCAGCCACCUACUGGCUGUCUUUGCCGAGAGGUGCACUCGGCAAAGAUGGCCCUCGCUUGUUCGCUUGGUCCCACGUGUCAGGAGCUGACACAUGUCAGCCACUAAACCCGGGCAAACGCCGGGCCAGGCCGGGUUUCGGGCCGGGCUUGUAAAAGCCCGACCUUCAUUUCUCAAGCCCGAGCCCGGCCCGAAGCCCGAAAUACUCCUUGUUUUCAAGCCCGAGCCCGGCCCGAAAUAAAGCCCGAAGCCCGAAAGCCUGGCCCGAACGCUAUUUUUCAGUGUACGCACGUGCAAGCCCGGCCUGAAGCCCGAAAGCCCGGCCCGAAAUACAUGAAAAGUGAAGCCCGAGCCCGGCCCGAACUAUCUUUCGGGCUGCAAAACAAGGCCCGAGCCCGGCCCGAAUGUCAAGCCCGGCCCGGCCCGGCCCGGGUUUUUCGGGCCGGGCUCGGGCCGGGUCGUCGGGCCGGGCUGUCCAUGACCGGGUUUAUUAGCCACCUACUGGUUGUCUAUGCCGAGAGGCGCACUCGGCAAAGAUGGCCCUCGGCCAGUUCGCCUGGUCCCACGUGUCAGGAGCUGGCACGUGUCAGCCCUACUGGUUGUCUAUGCCGAGAGUGGCACUCGGCAAAGAUGGCCCUCGGCCUGCUCCCCUGGUCCCACGUGUCAGGAACCGCCGUCACCGUCUGCUAUCCGUUAGCUACUUUAUUUUGCCGAGUGGUACUGUUUGACUCUCGGCAAAGUCUUUGCCGAGUGCCCGCGUUCUGGCUCUCGGCAAACUCCUGUUUGCCGAAGAGGUGUAUGCCAGGUGGCUUUUGCCGAGGGUGACACUCAGCAAAGGCUUUGCUGGCGGUUUUCGGCCCUUUGCCGAGUGUCCGUGGCACUCGGCGUAGCACAGAAUUCCAGUAGUGACAGUACAUACACAGACACUCAUACAUACGCACAUAUACUUUUUUUUUUAACCCUCCGCCCUACGGCCCUUUUUCAUUUGGCCAAGGCAUAUCCGUUUGCAACAUGCAAAUCAGAAAGCCAGGGAUUAUAUCAUAGCUCAAAACAUUGUUUUCGAUGUCUAUAUAUAGCUACCUUAGCAGUCACACAACCGACUCGCAUAAAGGAACUUAAAUCCCUGAAAAGCUACAAUUAACUCACAUAUUUUAACUAAGAUGUAGGAGACCCUGGAUUGGGACAAACCCGCCUCCCACAUAAUCUGAAUUUCCUUGCAGUCAAUCUCAACAUGGACCAUCUGGAAGCCCUUCUCCGUGGCCAUAGCUAAUGUGUCUCGAAUCACCAGCAACUCAAGAGAAAAAUGAUCAAAUAUAUGAUCAUAGCGCGUAGCGCGUAGCCAUUGCAAGAUGAACUCACCGGCAUGGUUCCUGCAACCAUUCCAGCGCCACCUCUUCUAAUGGCCUCAUUUGUUGCUCCGUCGGUGUUAAUUUUAAGACAGCCUCUAGCAGGUGGGCACCAUUUCGGAAUUGGCACUAUCAACGCAUCCAUCUUCCUCUCUGGUAGUUCCAGACUCCGGACAAUAUCAUCAAUCAGCGCCAUGGACUGCCAUGGUUGAUAGCUUGUUUCACGCACAUAACAUCAUCCAUACGAACGAGGCACGCACACCCUACCCCUAUGAGCAGCUCCGAGAGACUGAGCCGACACAUUAUCUUGAUAUUAAUGAAGUCACCACAGACGCCUUCGUAUACGACGGGAACAUCUCCCCUCACUAAACGCACAACGCAGGAAGGCCUGGAAUAAAUUCAGCAAACGCGAGCAUCAAUGUCAAAACUGGGACUUGAACUGUGGUGGCAGGGUAUACCAUAGUCCUCCUAACCAUCCAACCAUAGGUUGGUUCGCACAAGAUUGAGAUUGUUAUAUAUCGAGGUAGGGAUGGUGUUUGAAGUAUGAUCUUGUGCCACCAUUAUUUCAUAUAUAUUAUGUCCUUGCAAUUACGCGUGCUGCAUGAAAAAAAGAAUGGUUGCCACCACUAAAAAACGGUGUUGGCAAUGGGAUACAUUUGCUCCGAUGUUGUAACACCAAUGACGUCGAACUCUAGGGUGCUGAAACUUAACUCUGCAGGGCGAGAAUCAUUUUUCUUUGAUGAAGACCAGACUUCAAUGUGGAAGUGUUGUCCAGUUAAUUUAUCAUUAGUCACUCCAGAAAAUAACUAAGCAAGUGCACCUUCCAAGUGGAGGAUACAAACCAGACUAGAUCCCUGUGAUCUUUGCAUCUCUCUCUAAGAUUUGUUCCGGAUUGAAUUCGAUAACUAUCACAAUUAAAACUAUCAACGAUGUGGACACCGAGACCAAUAACACGAUGAAGGCCAAGUGAUGCAUGUCCAGCCGAAAGAGGAAGACCAUCAACCCCAAGGAGAACAACGUGACCCCAGUCGUGACCAACAUCAACAUUGACGUCAAUUGCAUCUGCUCGCAACACCACUUGAGUAAGUCAUGCCAAGAAAACUCGUGCAACAAUGCAUCUGGUAACCAUAUACUAUACCUGUGGCCCGGUGGGGAUUUCUUCAUUACAACCAUUUUCCAGUUCCCUACUCUUCUCGUCCUGGUGUUUGAUGAGUAGUAGUUUGAUCAUUACUGUUGAGUACAUGUAUACAAGGGCCCGUGCAGUGGUAAAUGUUUUAAACUGGGCACGAGCCUAAUGUUUUAGAUUGGGGCGGGUUUAGAGCCAAGCAGCGCGUUGCAGUCGGGACACAAGGAGAGGGGCUUGGGGAACCACAAUUUCUUUGGACAAUAGAAAGUUGGCAUUCUUUGUACAUGCAUGCCAAAGUACUCAUAAGUACCAUCAAUUCGCAAAAAAUAAGAGGAAAGAAACUCACAAGUACCAUGCUUGACAGGUGAUCUUCUUCUAUAGGGUUUGUCAAAGUUUAUUUAUAUGAAGAAAAUGAACUAGGCAGUUGCAUUUUAGAUACCGAGGCUUUUGACCUGGACUAGAUCUGAGGCAUCUUCACAUUUUUAACCAACAAUCUUCUUCGGGUUAAUUUCCUCAAAUUUGAGCAAAACAAACAUCCCCGCCGUGGAUAGCAAGACCAGGAAAGCAACGAAGACCAAGUCAAGAUGAAGAUCACGACUCCUAAGGGCAAUAACAGUGGUUGAUAUGACAUUCUUAUAUUAAGCCUUGCAUGUAAUUUAGAGAUGGCAAUAAAAGCAUGUCUACAAUGGUUAUCUCUUUGCCUUAUCUUAAAUAACUAGCUAUUCCUAAAAACAUGGUGAGACAUAUUGUGCUAAGAGAUCAUCUCUUAAAUAAGAGAAGACAAGCCUUUUCUUGUGACUUCUCUCUCCUCCACCUCAAUAUUUAGCCUAUAUGGCACUUCUAAGAUAGCACCAUUAUACUUGACAUAAGAAGAUUAACAUGAUCUUAGUCGCAACCAACAUAACGUCGACGUCAACUGCACGAGACAGUUAAGAAACGAAAUAACCAUAACAGGCUGCCCUCAAGCUCGGCCCUGAGCAGCUCCAGGUCCAGACGGUGCCCUUCAGCUAGGUCCGUACGUGCCUUCGCCACCCUCUCCUCCACCUCCAACUGGACCUGGGCUUCUCGAGCGGUGACGGCAUCCUCGGCCGCAGCAGCCUGGCGCUCCAUCACCUCCAACCUCUCCAACGCCAGGCUGUGCUCCACAGCCUCUGAUUACCGAAAUAGUAAAUUGCAUUUCGGUUAAUCAAGUGACAUUCGUUGAUCAGUACGUACGUAAUAGGUGGAUUUCAUAAUAAUAAUAAUAAUCACUUCACAUGCUUCGAGCUGCUGUGUCUUCUUCUGGCCUCGGCGUUUGAUAAGCAGCAGGUGGAUCAUGACCGUGGAGUAGAGGAAGGUGAUGGCGGCGAUGAUCAGGUCGCACCAAUGCCCCAGCUCCGUCCAUAAAGGGCGGGUGCAGAUAUAAAGAAGAAAAACAACAUGAUGAAACUGACCACCACGUGCUGCAUGCACAGCUGCAUACACAAAGAUCAAACGCCGUGCGUCAUGUAGGGAUUAUACAGCACAUGUACGUACCAGACAGAGACUGUCGUCGACUCGUCGUCAUCGUCGUCAAGAUGCACCGCCGCCGAUGCCAACAGCUGCGUCGAGGAGGAAUUAUCUUUGUCAUGCUAACUAACUCUCUUGCUGCAGGGAUUCGAGGUGGCAGCGAGAGUAGCUAGGUUGCAACGGCAGCUGCUUGACUUACUUGUGCAGCUCGUCGUCAUGUCCUCCUUAUCGGUAUACCGUGGGCGCAGUUGUGUGCGCGGUGGCCAGACCUCCGCAUUGAACUACAGUAUCUUAACCGGCCGGUUAGCUAGGAGUCUAUCUCCGGUUGCUAUCAGAUUCUAUUCGACCUCUAACUCUAAACGUGCCACCACUACCAGAACCGUGACUAAGCCUUGUGCACAAAAUUUAAUUACACAUUUUUACAUAGUAGUGCCUCCUCACUUUUGCCCAAUAUAUAUUUCUACCAGUUUAAAGAUUGUUAUACAAAGCAGCGACGUAUGUGGAGUUAGCAACCUCGUGCCAUCUCUUUUCCCUUGUAUAAAGAGAUGAUCAAAGUUUCAGACUAGACUAGAUCCAUGAGAUCUUUGCAUCUUUGCUAGUGCACUUUCCAAAAGGAAAAAAAAAACCUAAGCAAGUGCACCUCAAAGCCGAGGCUUCACACUAGACUAGAUAAAAAGCAUGAGCGACGUGGACACCGACACCGAUAACGCGAUGAACGCCAAGUGAUGCCAAUCAGACCGGAAGACCAAGACCGUUAAGUCGUCAACCCCAGGGAGAUCAACAGCCAGGACAAUUUAACCUACAACGGGCUAAUACCAUCUCUUUGCACCCAAUCGUUCGCAUGACAUGGCGCCAGCGGACGUGCUGUCUGCAUCAGAUGUACGACGCCCGUCGAUGGCAGAGCCGGGUUGUUCGCCUUUUGGUGACAGAACGCCGAUGGCUAUAGCGAAGCAUCGACCAUAGCUGCAGUAGAGGACACUACUGUUAAGUGACGUCGGAAAGGGACGGACCAACAAAAUAUUUUGUCAGCCAGUAAAAAGAUAUUCAGUAUUUUUCAGAUGGAGAAUAAGCGAUGGGUUGUGCCCAUAAGCAUAUGCUCUAUUGUUCUGUUCUUCCUGUUUAUUAUAGNNNNNNNNNNNNNNNNNNNNNNNNNNNNNNNNNNNNNNNNNNNNNNNNNNNNNNNNNNNNNNNNNNNNNNNNNNNNNNNNNNNNNNNNNNNNNNNNNNNNGUAAGAGGGGUUGUCAAUCCCUCGAAGGUAGUAAAGUAUGAUAAAUUGAUAGACUGAUAGAUGCAAAUAAAAUAAAGGAAUAAAACUCAGCGAGAUAUUUUUGGGUUUUUGAUAAUAUAGAACUGAAACAAAAGAGGCAAAUAAAUUAGAAACACAAAUAGCAGUAUAGAUCUGAAAAUAUAUGAUAGAAAUUAGACCCGGGGGCCAUAGAUUUCACUAGUGGCUUCUCUUAAGAAAAUAACAUACGAUGGAUAAACAAAUUACUGUUGGGAAAUUGAUAGAAGAGCAAAUAAUUAUGGCGAUAUCCAAGACAAUGAUCAUGUAUAUAGGCAUCACGUCCAAGAUUAGUAGACCGAAACGAUUCUGCACCUACUACUAUUACUCCACACAUUGACCGCUAUCCAGCAUGCAUCUAGUGUAUUAAGUUCAUGGAGAAACGGAGUAAUACAAUAAGAACGAUGACAUGAUGUAGACAAGAUCUAUUCAUGUAGGAAUAGACCCCAUCGUUUUAUCCUUAAUAGCAAUGAUACAUGUGUGCCUCGCUACCCCUUCUGUUACUGGGUCAGGGUACCACAAGAUCGAACCCAUCACAAAGCACCUCUUCCCACUUCAAGAUAAAUCAACCAAGUUGCCAAACAAAACCGAAAUAUCAAAGAAGAAAUACGAGGCUAUAAUAAUCAUGUAUGGAUAAGAAUAGAUCUGAUCAUAAACUCACAAUUCAUCGGAUCCCAACAAACACACCAAAAAAAAUUAUUACAUCAAAUAGAUCUCCAAGAACAUCGAGGAGAACAUUGUAUUGAGAAUCAGAAGGAGACAAAAAGCCAUCUAGCUACUGCCUACGGAACCGUACGUCUGUGGUGAACUACUCACCUAUCAUCGGUGGAGCACCAUGAUACGUCUUCGUCGUAUCUAUAAUUUUUGAUUGUUCCAUGCCAAUAUUAUACAACUUUCAUAUACUUUUGGCAACUUUUUAUACUAUUUUUGGGACUAACAUAUUGAUCCAGUGCCUAGUGCCAAUUCCUGUUUGCUGCAUAAUUUUUGUUUCGCAGAAAAUCCAUAUAAAAUGGAGUCCAAAGGGGAUAAAAACUGACGGAGAUUUUUUAUGGAAUAUAUGUAAAUUUUGGGAAGUGGAAUGAACGCGAGACGAUGCUCGAGGGGCCCACGAGGCAGGGGGGCGCACCCCUAACCCUCGUGGACACCCCGUAAGGCGGUUGUUGCGCUUCUUUCGCCGCAAGAAAGCUAAUAUCCGGAGAAAAAUCAUGUUCAAAGUUUCAAUCCAAUCGGAGUUACGGAUCUCCGGGAAUAUAAGAAACCGUGAUAGGACAGAAUCACAAACGCAGAAAGAGAGAGAGAGAGAGAGAGAGAGAGAGAGAGAGAGAGAGAUCCAAUCUCGGAGGGGCUCUCGCCCCUCCCACGCCAUGGAGACCAUGUACCAGAGGGGAAACCCUUCUCCCACCUAGGGAAAGGGUCAAGGAAGAAUAAGGAGGAGGGGGCCUUCCGUUCGCGCCGGAGUGCCACCGGGGCCAUCAUCAUCACCGUGAUCUACACCAACACCUCCAUCAUCUUCACCAACAUCUCCAUCACCUUCCCCCAUCUAUCUACAGCGGUCCACUCUCCCGCAACCCUCUGUACCCUCUAGUUGAAAAUGGUACUUUAUGCUUCAUAUUAUUAUCCAAUGAUGUGUUUCCAUCAUAUGAUGUCUGAGUAGAUUUUCGUUGUCCUAUCGGUAAUUGAUGAAUUGCUAUGAUUGGUUUAAUUUGCUUGUGGUUAUGUUGCUGUCCUUUGGUGCCCAUAAAAUGAGCGCGCGCGUGGAUCACACCAUAGGGUUAGUUGUAUGUUGAUAGUACUAUGUAUUGGAGGGCAAGAGUGAUAGAAGCUUCAACCUAGCAUAGAAAUUGAUGCAUACGGGAUUGAAGGGGGACCAAUAUAUCUUAAUGCUAUGGUUGGGUUUUACCUUAAUCAACAUUAGUAGUUGCGGAUGCUUGCUAAUAGUUCCAAUCGUAAGUGCAUAGAAUUUCAAGUCAGGGAUGACAUGCUAGCAGUGGCCUCUCCCACAUAAAACUUGCUAUCGGUCUAGUAAAGUAGUCAAUUGCUUAGGGAAAAUUUCGCAACUCCUACCACCACUUUUCCACUCACUAUACUAACUUUAUUGCGUAUUUAUCUAAACAGCCCCUAGUUUUUACUUACGUGCUCUUUAUAUUCUUGCAAACCUAUCCAACAACACCUACAAAGCCCUUCUAGUUUCAUACUUGUUUUAGGUAAAGCGAACAUUAAGCGUGCGUAGAGUUGUAUCGGUGGUCGAUAGAAUUGAGGGAAUAUUUGUUCUACCUUUAGCUCCGCGUUGGGUUCGACACUCUUACUUAUCAAAAGAGGCUACAGUUGAUCCCCUAUACUUGUGGGUUAUCAAGACCUUUUUCUAGUGCCGUUGCCAGGGAGUUAUAGUGUGGGGUGAAUAUUCUCGUGUGUGCUUGUUUGCUUUAUCACUAAGUAGUUUUUAUUUUGUGCUCUUGUUUUCUAUCUUUAGUUAUGGGCAAGGAAAUGCAAAAUACCAAAAAAAUAGUUGUACCUACUACACCAAAGGUUGAAGAACCAUUCAAAAUCAAUCACACUCCUGGAGCUUUUUACUUGGAUCAUCUUUGAUCCCUAUGUGCUCGUGCUGAAACCCCAACUAUCUUAGUUGAGGGAAAAUCUUUAGUGGCGAUGGAAAGACGGCGAGGGCCAUCACCAAGGCCCACCCGCACGUCAAGUGCACCGUGCUGGAUCUCCCCAAGGUGAUCCAAAAAACUCCGUCGGACUGUGUAGUCAACUAUGUCGCCGGUGACCUCUUCCACACCGUCCCAAAGGCUCAGGCCGUGAUGCUCAAGGUACGUGUUUUCUGCUUUGUAUUGUAUGUAUAGUGUGAUGGUGUGAAUUGAUGGAAAUGGCACCUUAAUUUUUAUCAACUACUCCGAUCCCUCCCUCUGGAUAAUCCAUUUCUCCAACAAGUAUUUCAGCACGAAGGGAGUACUAAUUUAUACUUCACCAUUGCAGACAAUGACUAAAUAAAUCUAAAACUUGUACUCCCUCUGAUGCAUAUUAAUUGUCACAGCUUUGGUAUAACUUAUAAGCAAGUAUAAUAUGGAUGGGAGUAGUAUAUAUAAUUUAAGACUGAACUGACGCUAACAGGGCUAUAUACUCUUUGUACGUAGCUUGUGCUGCACCACUGGAGUGACGACGACUGCGUGAAGAUCCUUACCCAGUGUAAGAAUGCCAUUCCUUCCCGUGAAGAAGGAGCGAAGGUGAUUGUCAUUGACAUUGUGGUCGAACCAUCAUUAGGACCUGUCAUGUUUGAGGCCCAGACUCUCAUGGACUUGCUCAUGCUUGUGUUCACGAGAGGCCGUCAACGUAGCGAAAAUGACUGGCGUGAGCUCUUCAUGAAAGCAGGGUUCACCGACUACAAAAUUAUCAAGAAACUCGGUGCACGAGGUGUCAUCGAGGUCUACAAGUGAAGCCUUUCUCAAAAGUUUAUCCAAAAGGCGUACUCUCAAGUACCAUUGCAGUGUGCUUUGUUUAUGUAUGGAUGGAUCGUGAACUCCAAUGAAGAAAAAUAAAGGGAGUUUCUUAUGUUUGCAAGGAUAUUAUCAUGUCACAGCUUAAGUGAUAAGCUUAUAAUUUCUAUCAUCUUUAAGUUGUAUCUUUUCCUUUCUGGAGUAUUAAAUAAUAUGUGUGUUUGUG